rnacentral:rRNA from 1 species
UACCCGCAGCACAAGUGGUGGUCAUAAUUAUUGGGCCUAAAGCGUCCGUAGCUGGCUUGUUAGAUGCCUGGGUAAAUCGAUGCGCUCAACGCAUCGAACUCCGGGUAGACCGGCAAGCUUGGGACCGGGAGAGGCGUGAGCUACUCGAGGGGUAGAGGUAAAAUCCUGUAAUCCUUCGGGGAGGACCAGUGGCGAAGGCGUCACGCUAGAACGGCUCCGACAGUGAGGGACGAAGCCCUGGGGCGCAAACCGG